rnacentral:rRNA from 1 species
GACGAACGCUGGCGGCGUGCUUAACACAUGCAAGUCGAACGGUGAUGCUCCAGCUUGCUGGAGUGGGUCAGUGGCGAACGGGUGAGUAACACGUGAGCAACCUGCCCCAGACUCUGGAAUAAGCGCUGGAAACGGCGUCUAAUACUGGAUACGAAACUGGCCCGCAUGGGCAUGGUUUGGAAAGUUUUUCGGUUUGGGAUGGGCUCGCGGCCUAUCAGCUUGUUGGUGAGGUAAUGGCUCACCAAGGCGACGACGGGUAGCCGGCCUGAGAGGGCGACCGGCCACACUGGGACUGAGGCACGGCCCAGACUCCUACGGGAGGCAGCAGUGGGGAAUAUUGCACAAUGGGCGAAAGCCUGAUGCAGCGACGCCGCGUGAGGGAUGACGGCCUUCGGGUUGUAAACCUCUUUCAGCAGGGAAGAAGCGAAAGUGACGGUACCUGCAGAAGAAGCACCGGCUAACUACGUG